rnacentral:rRNA from 1 species
AUGAACAAAUCAAUCGAGCAACCUCAAGUAAUCCUUGAGGUCGGUGGGGAAGCAAGGGUACUGCCUCCAGAACACGCCGUGGAUCCUCACCAUCCUCACCGUCUUUUGCUUCGUGGACGGCGCGCUCUCGACGUGCAGCAGCCCCAGCAGCUUCGCCACGGCGCCGGUGAGCACCAUGUCCUCGAGCACCUUCUCCGACUGCGCCACCAUGGACACGAGCCACAGCACCUUGACGGCCAGCUGCGUGGCCAGAUCCGACACCCUCAGCAUUGUCCUCGCCACGGCCGCGACCGACAGGUCGUGCUCGGCGAAGGCGAGGCGGCCCUCGGGGCACUUGCACAGCCGCUUGAGAAGCAGCAGUAUCCGCUCGGCGACGUGGCGGUCGUCGGCGUCCACGACGAGGAGCUCGACGAGGACGUGCACCGCGCCGACCUCCACGGCCUUGGCGCGCCCGCUCGGCGACCGCUCCACGACGUCCAGCAGCACGUCGAGCGCGCGCGAGCUGAGGCGCGCGGAGACCUCGUCAGACAGGAGCUCGAGGAGGGACUUGAGCACGUCGUCGACGUCGAUGCCGGCAGUCCAGUGGUCACCGGCGCCGGCACUGGAGAUCUUGGUGAGGAUGUCCAUGGCGUGCAACCUCGCCUCCGCGCUGCCGCGCUGGAGCAACGCCAUGACGGGCCUCAGGCACUCCGGCGCAAGAACGAGCCCCACCGACGCCUUGUCGGAGAGCGGGAGCGCGGCGAGCACCGCGGCGGCCUCCUCGCACACCGUGAACGCGGAGAAGUCGCCUCCCGCGCCGCUCUCGGCCAGCGCCUGCGCCAUCACGCGGCCGACCGCCUCAACGCCGCCCGAGGCGACGAAGAUGAUCUGCAUGGCCACGUCGCCCGCCAUGCAGCUCCGCAUGCUCUUGAGCGCGGUCACCUUGAACGGCGUCUCCUCGAGGUCGCCCAGCGCCGACCGCAGCCGCUCCUCCUCCAGCAUCCUCGUCAGCGGCGUCCCCAGCUCGUGGACCGGACUCGACAGCGACGACGUGGACGGCGACGACGAAGACGAGGAGGAGGAGGAAGGGGAGCCGCGGUCGAGCCAGGAGGAGAUGACGCGCGCGAGGGUGUGGUUCGGGGUGAGGUCAAGGUUGGCGAGCGGCUGCAUGGUGGCCGGGCAGGUGGCCCGGCCGUACGAGAAGAGCCAGCGCUCGAUGCUGCGGCGGUCGUAGGUGACGCCGGUGGACACCGUGACGGGCUCCUGCAUGAGCUCCAUGGAGAUGGGGCACAGGAACAGGUGGGGAGGCUCCUCCAUGUCCAUGUCCAUAGAUCGCGAUGCACACCACACCAACUCGUACUAAUGGCCCAUUCCAAGUCUAUUUGA